UUUCAGACAGAAUAAUAAUUUCAUACAAUAAACUGUUACAGAUCAAAAUAUACACUUUAUAUACAUUUAAUGCCCUUAACAGUUGUCAAUCCUCUAUCAUUGUUCAGAAAUUUUAUUCUGAACAAAAGCAGAGUAAAACCAAGUUCAUCACUUUUUUCACAGGCGCCAACAAAUUCUUACGUCACAUAGGAAAAAACGUGAAUUGUUCUCAGAAACAUAAUUAUUAGCAGAAAAUGAAUAUGAAUAAUGAUUUGGAGUAUAUUGAAGUGCAGCACAUUACAGAAAAAUAAAUGCAGUUUAAUAAAAUACUCUCAUCUUUUAUAAGAAACCAUCUUAGACAGUGUGUACCCCCAGUUCCUUAAGGUUUACAAAAUGUUAGAACAUUUAGAAAGUUUUUAGAAUAUUUCUAUUUUAUUUUCAAAAACAAGAGCCUCAAUACUUUAAAUUUGGUUUGCUAGUCACUGUGUAUUUUUAUUCUUUUUGUAAUUUUGUAGUGCAGGUAAGUUUAGUCAAAAUUAGCAAUAGAAAAAUCACGAAAUCUUGAUUUUCGGUUAUUCUCAAUCUAAAUAAGUUGUUUUUAGCUAGAGUAUUGGGGUUUCUUAACCUUUUCUCAUUUUCGAGUACUGGUUUCAUACAGAUGCUUUCUUAUAAAAAAGAGUUCAGUGGAAAAUAAUGUUGCUAUUAGGAAAAAAUUAAAUUUGUUAUCAUCAAAGUAUCCAAAUAGUUUUUGUUUAUCUAAAACAGUAAAGGACUUUUUAGAGCAUUUGUCCUGUUCAGAUUCAAACGAAAUAUUUGAAUGUGUUCUGGAAUUUGUUCUUUGGCCAGGCGAGGAAGAAGGGCUGCCACGUGAAUUGUAUUCAUUGCUUGAUUGUUGUAGUUGAAAUGGUUGCAAUGGAGGAUAGGCAACAGUUGGCUGUUGUAUCUGUGUUUGUUGACCAUGUUUCAACUGCACAAGCUGACGUUGUAUAGCCAUGUCUUUUGCAAAGCCUUCUAGGAUUUCUGACAAUAGUUUCCACACCAUUUCCCCGAAUAUUUGAUCUGCUGUUCUCUUGUGCUGUUUUACGGUUGGCCUUGGUUUUUUCAGUGCAUCUAUUGCUGUCUCUAUUAGCACAUUGGUUCACUUAGCUUCUGUCUUUUUUGAGAUCUUUGACGAAGGUUUAUUUUCGACUUGAUAUGCAUAUUGACUGUUUCAUCCGCCAGGAAACUGAGAGACUGGAAAAAUUGCCAUUUGCUUCGGUACAUUUCUUCUGCACCUGCACCACUGACUCUGCUCUGGUGGGUCUUGUUUUUCUCUGCCACAAAAUAGCUUCUUAGAGAGUUCAUCUUUUUUUCCACCUCUUCAUAUGUUGGCACAGGAAAUUUAUCUUGCUCUUGUAGGACAUCAAUUACUUUCUGUAUGGUGUUGCAUCUCCUGUCUUACAAAUGGUACUGAGGAUUUUAAAUAUCGUACAGCACGGGGUGACAGAAUAGGAAAUAUGCAGAAGGAGAACUCUCGGUCAGGACCUUUGAAGUUUGCAUGCACAAACCUCAAGUGGUAAGAGUACGUAGAAACAAUAGGUUUGCACAAUAAACUUGUUUUGAUACAGAGCUUUGGGCGAGGGAUGGCGACAGUCUUCUUUAGUUGCUGCAAGGAAAAAAUUGUAGAAGCCUGGCUCCACUUUAAACAUAGGCUACAAUAUUAAGAAAACUUGUAUACUCCUGUGAGGUCAAGGUCUCAGGAAAAAAGACGCAAAAAUUCUUUAACACAUGAAUUUGUUCAUUCAAUUAUUCGACUUAGAAUGGAAAAAUAAUAUGGCAGCCAACUCAUAGAAAGUUUAAAGGCUAUAAAGCAGAAAGUAAAAAUUAUAUACUUCGAGCACGUCAGCAUGAAGCAGACAAGGCAGCCAUGAAAAGGAUGCAACAACAAAUGGAAGUAGACAAAAGCUCAUCAGAAUCGGAAAAUGACCUCAGAUGAAUGUUAUUAGAGCAUUACACAGUAGACCUUGAUGAAGUAGAGAAUUACAUAAAUCGUAAAGAGCACUGAGGUUUGACUGAUUUUUUGAAGUUUAUAAACAUGUAUUUGCUUCAGUGUAGUAAACUGUUUUUGAAACUUUCCUGUUUUUAUAAAUUUUUUUCUUAUCCAAAUGCUUUCAAAGUUCAAGCCUUUUUAAAUUUUCAAUUCAGGGAUGCAUCAGUCUGAAUAAUUGAGAAAAAGACUGCCCAAAUUGGAGACAGUUUCUGUUGCAAAGCAGACUAUAAAACAACACCAUAACUCACUUAUCAAAUUUUUCCUGAUCCUUUUUCAAAGAGUAGUUACAUUAAGAGAACUUGUUGAAAGACAACUGGUUACAUCUUACAACAAGAUAGAAAUAAUAUGGUAUGAGCAAUCUGGUUUCAAAUGGACACAAGCACAAUACUGUUAGGAACUUUAUUGUCACAUUUCUUUUUUGUUACAUUGGCAAGAUCUAUUACUUAAAGCAAAUCAACUUGAUGACAGGCAGCUUAAAGUAGACUUUUGGCUCAUUGUGAAGUGUACAUGUCAAUGAUAGGAAAACACUUUAAUCAACAUUUGUGAUAAUUUUGUGGUGUAGAUAUUGGUAUACUUUCUAGGAAAUUAAAGAGAAGAUCAUUGGGCUUCUUGGCAAUAAAUAAAGUUGCUGCCCUACGAACAAAAACUGGGGGCCCUAAAGAACAGGGUCGCCGUGCUUUUAAUUUGAAAAGGAGUAAAAACUUCAUUAUGCUCGACGACAUAAAAAAAAUUAUACAAAAUAAGACCAGGGAUGACGAUAUACGUAAAAUUAAUCAGAAAAGGCAAAGAAGGCAAAGAAAAGGCAAAGAAGGCAAAAAAAAGGCAAAAAAAGGC